CCCUUAGAUGUUCUGGGCCGCACGCGCGCUACACUGAUGCGUUCAACAAGUUUCCUUGGCCGAGAGGCCUGGGCAAUCUUCUUAAUAUGUAUCGUGAUAGGGAUAGAUUAUUGCAAUUAUUAAUCCUGAACGAGGAAUUCCUAGUAAACGCAGAUCAUCAAUCUGCAUUGAUUACGUCCCUGCCCUUUGUACACACCGCCCGUCGCACCUACCGAUUGGAUGUUCCGGUGAAGCCUCGGGAUGAGGACUGGUGCCUUUAUUGGCAUGAGUUGUUCAGAACUUGUCUAAACCUUAUCAUCUAGAGGAAGGUGAAGUCGAAACA
rnacentral:rRNA from 1 species